rnacentral:lncRNA from 1 species
UUUUUUCAUUUGUGUCAUCUCUGAAUCAUUCCUGAACAUAUUUUCCAUUUUUCUUUCGUUCAUUUAUCUCUCUAGAUAUUUAAGAUUUUGCAAAGGCACGCAUACACUAAAUCACUUCUUCAAUUUUCAACUACAUUGAAUUCUCUGUAAUAAUCUUUGUGAUAUUUCAACCAAAGAACUUGUAUUUGUUUAUUUAAUUCUAUCUAUGCAUGACUCUUCUUCUAUGAUA